rnacentral:rRNA from 1 species
CCAUGCCGCGUGGGUGAUGAAGGCCCUAGGGUUGUAAAGCCCUUUCGGCGGGGAAGAUAAUGACGGUACCCGCAGAAGAAGCCCCGGCUAACUUCGUGC